GGCAGCAGUAUAGAUAAACUCUUUGCCUACAUGAAUAGAGAUGUUACGCUGGUAGCAGACAAAACAGAGGUUCAGAUUUUGGUAUGGUUACGUGAUGUUCUUAGUGUUGUAAAUCGAGCUAACGAUUGCCGAUGCCGGCCGGGAAACUGUUUUGAAAGGUCUGUGUGCUGCAUCAGUUGCAGCCCAGCCAUAGAAAUAUAGCUAUAUAAGACGUUAGCUAGCCCACACUCACAGAAACAUCAUCAUGGCAGCGGAGUGCGAUGUGUUCUCUGAAAUCGAAGUGCUGCAGUCUAUCUAUCUGGAUGAACUGCUGGUCAACAGGAAAGAAGACGGGGGCUGGGAGGUGAGCCUGGUCCUGUACCCGG